UUCUUCCCUUGGCGGUGGCCGUUUUGGUCAAGAGAAUGGGGAUCUUCUAACUAUGAGUCGUAUGGAUUUUACAGCCAUUUCUUCUACCAUUAAAACUUCAACAUGUGACACAGAAUUGAUUUUAUACGACUGCCAAGCAGAUGAUUCUGCACUUGAGAUUCUGUUCCCUAUACUGCACAAAGUGCAUCUUUACUUGGGCAAAAGCCUUCUUUGUCAGAUUUUAACCCUGAUUUUUAAUGCACCCAUGGCAAUGUCUUUGCAAUGGGCAUCAACACUUUCCAAAGCUCUUGGAAAAGAGCUGGACCUCAGUGACACUCCUCUUGACUACCGUACAUGUGAGUCUCUGCAGUUGGUCUUGGAUUACAAAGAGGAGCUUACACAUCUUAAUCUCAGCUAUUGUCAGAUCACAGAGGGGUGUUUGGAUCUUUUACUCCCUCAC